UACGUAGGUGGCAAGCGUUGUCCGGAUUCACUGGGCGUAAAGCGCGCGCAGGCGGUCUUCUACGUCUGGGUGAAAACCCGGGGCUCAACCCCGGGACUGCCUUGGAUACGGGAAGACUUGAGGAUCGGAGAGGCAAGGGGAAUUCCGACGUGUAGCGGUGAAAUGCGUAGAGAUGUGGAGGAACACCUGUGGCGAAGGCGCCUUGCUGGCCGAUUUCUGACGCUGAGGCGCGAAAGGCGUGGGGAGCAAACAGG
rnacentral:rRNA from 1 species